GUCAUAGAAUGUAGUUUUUGCUUGAAGUAAGGUGGUUCAUGUUUUGGUGAUAUGAUGAUUGUAAGAAGUAGUAUUACGGGUUAAUUGUGAUCGCAUCAACUGGAAGUCAUCAUUUCUAUAAGGUAAAGAGUUUAUCUCUGGUGAAGGGUAUGACCUGAUUUUGCUGCCUAUCAAGGAUACUCCUCAUUACGUAGGU